UCAUGAGGAUGGAGUAAAUAUUUAAAAUUUUAUUUUACACAUUCAGUAUACAGCACACCUAAAAAUAAAUAAUAUUAGCAGUAAUAAAGUCUCAGUAAGAGCAAUGUGUUUGGAUAUAUAUCAUUAUUUAUUAAUAAUAUUUGCUCCAUUCUUGGUGAUUCAGAGAUAUAAAAGCCUGAUGCCAAGUUCACUUCAUUUUGAUUCUUAUAUAAAUAAAGUAUCUGAAAAAGAUGGCUCACAAAAAUUCAUGAAUCCAAAUGAAGAAGGUCAUCAUUGGCUGUGCAUAAUUAAUCACCCUAUCAUUUUUCAUCCCAAUUAGGAAGUGAUAUUUGCAGAAAUUGGAGCUGUGUAUUUCCUUGAUUCCUGAAGCCAAUCAGCUAUUCCUAUCAACUAAUGAGAAGAUAUUUCGUUUUGGUAUUUCAACAAAUUGGCAAAGUGCUCAUGGAAAAAUCUAUAUUUGGAAAAUUCUCAACACAUAAAAUUCCAUUUCUAACUUGUGUAUAUGCUCCUGUAUUCAGGAUUGAACAUUUUUGCCUGCUGCAUAUCUGCCAUGUUCUGUGUCACUAACCAUAUCAUGACUGGGCUCUUGUGCCUCUGACUGUGGACAUCUAUGCUGAAAAGGAAGGAUGCUGUUCAAAAGGAGCUUCCCAGGAACACAAAUUACCAACACAUGCUAUUCUGCCUGGCAAAAGGGAAAUUUAUCACUCCAGUGGCCAGUAUUAAGAAAGAAAAUAGGUCUCAAAUCACUUACCUGACCUUUGGCUUUAUGAAACUCGAGAAAGAAGAGAAAACUAAACCAAAGUAAGAAGAAACAAGAAAAUAAUAAAGACUGUACUGGAAAGCAGUGAAAUAGAAUACAUAAAAGUGAAGGAGAAAUAUUACUGAACCCAAGAGCUCUUUCUUGGAGAAUAUAAACAAAAUGGAUAAAACAUUACCUAGGCUGUAAAAAGUGAAAGUAGAGAAAACAGAAGAUAUCAAAAUCAAAGCUGUAAAGAUAAAUAUCACUACUGGUCAUAUCAGAAUCAAAGCUUUCCUAAAGGAAUGCUACACUGAUGUCAUCAAAUUGGAUAAAAUAUUGGUUUUAGGGACAAAUUAUCUAAGAGCACAAAGGAAAAUUAGACAGUGUGAAUAGGCAUGUAGUAAUUACAUAAGUUACACUUUAAUUUUAAAUAUUGUGCCAAAACAAGUUUAAGUAUAGCUGACAGCACUGUGGAAUCUAUCAAAUCAUUAAUAAGUAUUAUUCAGAACUUUUCAAAUCUUUAGAAAAUAGAGAAAGAUGUAAAGAAUCAUUAUCUAAUUCUAUAAGAUACAAAAAUGAGAAUAAAACUUGACAAAUGAUGGAAAGUGUUUAACUAUGUAUUUGCACAUGAAGUCCAACAACAGGAAUAAUAAUAGCAUUGCAUAACCAGGGAAUAAAUGUUAGAAAUGCAAAGUUAAACUAACAUCCAAAAUACAGUCAAAGCACUCACUAUGCCACACUCAUGAACUAAGAAGAAGAAUACGAGCAAUCACUGAACCAAAGCCCAUCUCUAGCUACACUCAGGAACCCUCUCUUCUCAGUAACUUCCAUCCCUUUACAUUCUCUGAUGAGGCUGAAAGGAACCUCGGUUUGUGAGUCUAAGAAUAAAUAUUUAGAAAGGAGUUUGAUGCGGUGUCAACUUAGCUAAGCAGUGGUAGGAAGUUCACUUCUUGGAUUUUACAUCUCUUCAGUUUUAGGUUUUAAAUAUAGAAUGCAGCACUAGGAAUAGAAUCUCUCUCCAGUACAAUCAGGAAACAGUUGGGUGGACCUUAACAAUUAUGCCACUAUUGCAGCAAUGGGCAUAUUUUGUCUGAUGGGUUCCUAUUUUAGUUCUUAGAUUGAACAACUGAUUAAUACUAUCAAUCCCCUGAUAACCAUAUCAAAGAACAGAUGCUCCAACAUCCUGGAUAGCACCACCUGACACCAUAAAACUUAGCUAGAAGGGAGGUACCUUCUAGCUUCCAUUUCCUCCCAUACUGUUGGUUGCCUCUUCUUUUCAUUAACAAUGUCCUUUACUAUAAAGAAACUUUGCAGUUCUAUGAGCUCUUAUUUGUGAAUUUUAAUGAUCUUAUUUUGAGUGCUAUCAAAGUCCUAUUAAGAGAGUAUUUAUUGAUCCCAUAUGGAUAUAGUACUUUUUCCUCUAGCACUUUCAUGGUAUCAGGUCUUACAUUAAAGUGUGUGACCCCUUUGGAGUCAAGCUUUAUUUGUAACUUGAUAUAUAAGUUUAAUAUUCUGUUACAUGCUGAUUUUUUCUCAACGAGAUGCUGUCUUUUCUCCAGUAUGUAUAUUUGUUUUCAUCGCCAAAAAUUGUGUAGCUUUACUUGUAUGGACUUCAAUAUGGGUAGUCGAUUCUACUGUAUUUGUGCACAUAUUGAAUAUAAGAAAGAAUUUGUAAGGAAGAAAUGGAGUUGGCAUGAAUGGUAAAUAAAUAUGACAGGGUAGAAAGAAAAGUAACCAUAAUACUUACAUACCCAUAUUUUUGUGGAAAAUUCUGAACAAAUUACAUUUAUGAAUAAAAAUAAACAUUACUGGUUUAUUAGUUUAUUUGGUUAAAAACCCAACCAAGCAGAAUAAGAAAGAAGCCGUCAAUUCUGUGUCAUAGUUUAAGAGCCCCAUCCCUCAUGGGAGAUAAGGCAAGGAAGUCAAAGUGAGGGGCAGGUGAUCACACUGGCUGAUCUGCAGUCACUAAGUAAAUGAUGUUAAUGUAAAUAAAAAUGAAUGUUAGUACUCAGGUCUCACUUUCUCAUUUUUGUCCAGGCUAGGCCUACAGUCCUUGGAAAGGGAUCAACCAUAUUUAGUGUUAAUUUUCCCAUUUGCAUUAACUCAGUCUAGAAACUGCCUCAUAGACAUGUUCAAAGGUUUAUUUCUGUGAUGAUUCUAAAUAAUUUGACAAUAAAUACUAAACACCACAGAUGGAUUGUUCUUAAUGUCAUAAAUAGUAUCCUUGAAACCUACAGACAACAUUAUACUAAAUCCUAAAUAACUAACUAUUGUUUCCUUAAGAUACAUAUCAAGGAACAGAUGAUCUACUCUGACCAUUGCCAUUGGCCUUAUAUAUGAAGUUACAUGUAGUCGAUUAUACUGCAUUAUACCACAUUCAGUCAGAAAGGAGAGGACUGUAAUUGAGUGAGUAAUAUAGAAAUAAGCAAUGAAAUAUUCAAGUAUAUAUUCACAAAAAUCAAGUGUAUCUAUAAAGAAAGAGCAACCUGAAUUAGACGUUAAAUAAGUAAUUGUAUUCACAUUAUUUUAAUAUAUGUUAGAAAAUUUUAUGAAUUCUCCUACAGUGAAAAUAAACCUAUUGGCAAAAGAAUGCAGCUAGACAUCAAUAAACUGAGUUACUCUACACCAAUAGAUUGUGUGGUGGUUUGAAUAAGAAUG
rnacentral:sRNA from 1 species